AGGGGUGUUCAUUGGGCGGAUUGGGCGGCUUUUUACUCUAACGGUUUGGCUUGACGGUUAUCGGCUUUUAAAUGUAUUCAUCCGUUAGCCACCCGAUAAGAUAUCGGGCGGAUUGGUAUCGGGUUAGCUCUUAUCGGGCGGUAACUGGGCGGUUUAUCGGUUUAAUACCUAAGGGCUCAAAUGUAUUCUGUCCGCACACUAGGACAUAACUAAAAUUUCAUGUGCAUGACAUUCAAAGGCAUCUGACCUUGCCAUGGAUUUUACAAUUGACAAUGAAACAAAGAAAAAGAGAAGAUAAGAUACAUUGUCAGGUUUA
rnacentral:lncRNA from 1 species